GCGAGAGAGAGAGAGAGAGAGAGAGAGAGAGAGAGAGAGAGAGAGAGAGAGGUGUGCAGCAGUGCUGACUUUUCCUAAUGCAGGCAGAUAGAUGACACCGGAUCCCACGGACAGGUUUGCUCAACACUCUUCAGGCUAGCUAAUGAUGGAAAAACAAGCAGGCAAAUUCAGCCCACCCCUUCACACUGUAUGUUAAGAAACCUGUAGCAGAUCACAGAAACAAAUACUCCACGCUUUCCCAAAGGAGCUGAGACACUUGCUCAUGUUAUAUCAAUUUGUCUUUUCCCUUACUGAAUUGCAAUUGCUGUAAAGGGUCACCUGACUGACUCAUCACUUGCACCAUUGAUGUGAGAUCCUGUGGAAGUACGGUGAUGGGAACAGAAAAAAGGUUGCCCAUCAGAAGAAUGCUGAGCAGGAAUGGUGGAGGACAACGUUGACACAUGGAGAUCUUCGUUACUGGCUUGAAGACUGGAUUUGUUGCUAUUGCAGAAUAUCUCAUCUUGAGGAAGGAAGAAGACUGGAAGACUGUUCCUUGGCAGACUGGCAGCUCUUUGGCAAAGCUUAUAGGGUGGUGGAAUGGCAUUAAGGAUUUUCCAAGGAAAUGUGCAAAGUGGAGAAAAGGAGGUUAUAAUUUUAACCAGGAUGUCUAAGCUUUGUUGUGCAAUGUGGGUUGCAUUUUAUUUUAAAUUUCCUUUUCUUCCUGCAGAAACAUAUAAGUAAUGAGUUAAUUCUUACUUGGUUGCUAGCUGGCUAUGUGGUGCAAGUAUACAACUGCAUGCAGUGACGCAUACAACAGCAGAAAAAUUAAAACUUGUUUACUAAGUCCGAGGUCCAAAUUAAUUUAUGCCUCAUAUUUUUGGACUGCUCCUCAUAAAACUUUUGAUAUUCUGGAGGCAAAUCAAUGAUGGUUGCAGUAAUUGAAUAUGUGUGUGGGUGUGUCCAUUAAUGCACUUAUUUUAAAUAUGUAAAUAUUAUGUUAAUUAGGUGUCCCUGAUUGUCCCUAAUUUUAAGAUCCUAUGUCCCGUAUUCUCUCAUCUGGAGAUUGAGAGGUAUAGUCCCCAGAUAUUUUAUUUGCUAGUAGUGACAUUCACAAGAAAAAGAAACAGAAUCUUCA